rnacentral:rRNA from 1 species
GACGUAACGCUGGCGGCGUGCCUAACACGAUGCAAGUCGAACGGGGCUCGUUUGGAGUCGAAGGACUUCGGUCAAGUGAAUCUGAACUUAGUGGCGGACGGGUGAGUAACGCGUGAGCAACCUGCCUUUCAGAGGGGGAUAACAUUUGGAAACAGAUGUUAAUACCGCAUAAGAUUACAGUACCGCAUGAUACAGUGAUCAAAGGAGCAAUCCGCUGAAAGAUGGGCUCGCGUCCGAUUAGAUAGUUGGUGAGGUAACGGCUCACCAAGUCGACGAUCGGUAGCCGGACUGAGAGGUUGAACGGCCACAUUGGGACUGAGACACGGCCCAG